UCCCUCUUAGUUCAGUCGGUAGAACGGCGGACUGUUAAUCCGUAUGUCGCUGGUUCAAGUCCAGCAGAGGGAGCCA
rnacentral:tRNA from 2 species